GUCUAAGGCCAUAGCACCCUGAACGGCCCUAUCUCAUUUGAUCUCGGAAGCUAAGCAGGGUCGGGCCUGGUUAGUACUUGGGUGGGAGACCACCUGGGCAUACCGGGUGCUGUAGGCU
rnacentral:rRNA from 1 species